rnacentral:rRNA from 1 species
AUUGAACGCUGGCGGCAGGCCUAACACAUGCAAGUCGAACGGUAACAGGAAGCAGCUUGCUGCUUCGCUGACGAGUGGCGGACGGGUGAGUAAUGUCUGGGAAGCUGCCUGAUGGAGGGGGAUAACUACUGGAAACGGUAGCUAAUACCGCAUAAUGUCGCAAGACCAAAGAGGGGGACCUUCGGGCCUCUUGCCAUCGGAUGUGCCCAGAUGGGAUUAGCUUGUUGGUGGGGUAACGGCUCACCAAGGCGACGAUCCCUAGCUGGUCUGAGAGGAUGACCAGCCACACUGGAACUGAGACACGGUCCAGACUCCUACGGGAGGCAGCAGUGGGGAAUAUUGCACAAUGGGCGCAAGCCUGAUGCAGCCAUGCCGCGUGUAUGAAGAAGGCCUUCGGGUUGUAAAGUACUUUCAGCGGGGAGGAAGGGAGUAAAGUUAAUACCUUUGCUCAUUGACGUUACCCGCAGAAGAAGCACCGGCUGACUCCGUG